rnacentral:rRNA from 1 species
AACGAACGUUGGCGGCGUGGAUUAGGCAUGCAAGUCGAACGAGAAAGGUUUCUUCGGAGACCGAGUAAAGUGGCGGACGGGUGAGUAAUGCAUAGAUAACUUGCCCCCGAGAUGGGAACAACGUCUCGAAAGGGAUGCUAAUACCCAGUGUCGUCUUGGUCCCCUGGGGCCAGGAUGAAAGGAGGCCUCUGAUUCAAGCUUCCGCUCGGGGAGAGGUUUAUGUCCUAUUAGCUAGUUGGUGAGGAACGGCUCACCAAGGCGAAGAUGGGUAGCCGACCUGAGAGGGUGACCGGCCACAUUGGGACUGAGACACUGCCCAGACUCCUACGGGAGCUGCAGUCGAG